rnacentral:rRNA from 1 species
AUACGUAGGGGGCGAGCGUUGUCCGGAAUGACUGGGCGUAAAGGGCGUGUAGGCGGCGGUGUAAGUCUGGAGCGAAAGUCCCGCAUUCAAUGUGGGAAUUGCUUUGGAUACUGCAGUGCUAGAGUGCGGAAGAGGUAAGUGGAAUUCCCAGUGUAGCGGUGAAAUGCGUAGAGAUUGGGAGGAACACCAGUGGCGAAGGCGACUUACUGGGCCGUAACUGACGCUGAGGCGCGAAAGCGUGGGGAGCGAACAGGAUUAGAUACCCUGGUAGUCCACGCGGUAAACGAUGAAUGCUAGGUGUUGUGGGUAUCGACCCCUGCAGUGCCGGAGUAAACACAAUAAGCAUUCCGCCUGGGGAGUACGGCCGCAAGGUUGAAACUCAAAUGAAUUGACGGGG